rnacentral:tRNA from 5 species
CGGGAUGUAGCGCAGUUCGGUAGCGCGCCUGCUUUGGGAGCAGGAUGCCGCAGGUUCAAAUCCUGUCAUCCCGACCA